AUUGAACGCUGGCGGCAUGCUAUACACAUGCAAGUCGAACGGCAGCGCGGGCUUCGGCCUGGCGGCGAGUGGCGAACGGGUGAGUAAUACAUCGGAACGUGCCCAGUAGUGGGGGAUAGCUCGGCGAAAGCCGGAUUAAUACCGCAUACGACCUGAGGGUGAAAGCGGGGGAUCUUCGGACCUCGCGCUAUUGGAGCGGCCGAUGGCAGAUUAGCUAGUUGGUGGGGUAAAGGCCUACCAAGGCGACGAUCUGUAGCUGGUCUGAGAGGACGACCAGCCACACUGGGACUGAGACACGGCCCAGACUCCUACGGGAGGCAGCAGUGGGGAAUUUUGGACAAUGGGCGAAAGCCUGAUCCAGCAAUGCCGCGUGUGUGAUGAAGGCCUUCGGGUUGUAAAGCACUUUUGGCGGGAACGAAAAGGACUGUGCCAAUACCACGGUUCGAUGACGGUACCCGCAGAAUAAGCACCGGCUAACUACGUG
rnacentral:rRNA from 1 species